ensembl:lncRNA
AAAUUCAGUCAAAUGCAUUUAUUUAUUUAUUAUGCUGCGGUGAAAUUAAUGCAAAUUCAAGCUAGACUGUUAGUAGCUGUUUGUAGAUUUUGCAGGAAUUUUACAGUAUUUCAUACAGCAUAUCAUAAACCCUCAUAGCAAUGUAAUAAUCUAAGCAUUUCUUACAGACAGGUGUGUAAUCAAAGCAUGUCUGAAUGACAAAUUUUGCCAAAAAGUGUAUCUUUAAAUGUACAGCCAUUAGUAGUUGUACAGUAUUUCAUACAGUAUAUGAAUGCAAUGUAAUAUAAAAUAAUUUCUAAUCAAACUUGGUGAAGAGGAAUGUUCUCUGCUGCAUUUUCUUUCUGUUCGUCUUCCAAUCUUUUUCUUUCUUUGUCUAUUGCUUCUUGUUUUUUUCUGUCUUUCUCCUCUUUGCGCUUUAUAAUAAUAAGAAAAAUGAUGUAGAGACCGAAAAACACAGUAAGGCCAAUCAGCAGUCCCAUGGCUAUGAGCUGAAAGACAAUUGGUAAAGAUGGGGUGCUUUUUAUCAACUAUUUAAUUAACUUGGACAUAUAACUUAUUAACAGAUGUGUGCACAUUAACGACAAGUAGGAUAUUAAUAAUAUUUUAGUCAGAAUAUUACAAUAAGUGCAUCAACCAUACCUGAGACUCAAAAAGCAACUCUACAGACUGCUUUUUCAGGAAGUCGAAAUUUCUGUCCUCAGGUGGAGGUUGGCACCAUUUGUGGGGUACGUCUGUAGAAUUUACUUUCCAAGUGCCAUCCCAGGAGCUCCUCUUGCAAACAUAGUAGUGUCCGUCAAAGAACAACACAAAGAGCCACAAUAACACAACGAGCACCACUGAUAGCAAUACGCCAAACAAACGCAAAAUAUUACUGCAGUCACAGCAUUUCUCCAGCUUCUUGUACUGAUCCAUUUUGAUGAACACUGUGGCAAAGAGGAUGAUCAAACUUGAACAACUCAAAAGCACAUUUGAGACAAAAUUGUUGGAUGAGUUACACGGACAAAUAAACUCAGUCUCCAUCAGUUUUUCUACUACUAUUAGGAACAGGCUUAAGGCGAUAUCCGCUUGUACGAUGGGCUUCACAACCUCCACAAUUUUGGCUACUAUUUGUUUGGAUGCUGGUCCUGUGGAUCCUUUUUUUCCGGAUGCUGAAGCCAUGAUUCUGUAUGCUGCGUGACGAAGAGGGAAUCACUGAUUCUUGUGUUCAGGCCC